rnacentral:rRNA from 1 species
UACGGGGGGAGCAAGCGUUGUUCGGAUUUACUGGGCGUAAAGGGCGCGUAGGCGGCGCAACAAGUCACUUGUGAAAUCUCCGGGCUUAACUCGGAGCGGCCAAGUGAUACUGUCGUGCUAGAGUGCGGAAGGGGCAACUGGAAUUCUCGGUGUAGCGGUGAAAUGCGUAGAUAUCGAGAGGAACACCAGUGGCGAAGGCGGCCUCCUGGCCCGAUCCUGACGCUGAGGUGCGAAAGCGUGGGGAGCGAUCCGGAUUAGAAACCCCAGUAGU